rnacentral:rRNA from 1 species
UACGUAGGGUGCAAGCGUUAAUCGGAAUUACUGGGCGUAAAGCGUGCGCAGGCGGUUAUGUAAGACAGAUGUGAAAUGCCCGGGCUUAACCUGGGAACUGCAUUUGUGACUGCAUGGCUAGAGUUUGGCAGAGGGGGGUAGAAUUCCACGUGUGAGCAGUGAAAUGCGUAGAUAUGUGGAGGAACACCGAUGGCGAAGGCAGCCCCCUGGGUCAAGACUGACGCUCAUGCACGAAAGCGUGGG